CAAAGAAUCAACAAAUAUGCUCUAGCCAGUUAGUGGAGGAAUGACUUCAGAAGUGAAAUAUAUGGGCAGCCCAAGUGGCUCAGUGGUUUAGCACCGACUUCAGCCAGGGUGUGAUCCUGGAGACGGGGGAUCAAGUCCCACCCACGUUGGGCUCCCUGCAUGGUGCCUGCUUCUCCCUCUGCCUGUGUCUCUGCCCCUCUCUCUCUCUCUCUCUCUCUGUCUCUCACAAAUAAAUAAAAUCUUUUUUUUUUAAGUGAAAUACAUGAAGAAGCAUAGCCUACUGGUACCCUAAUUAAUAAAAUCUCAGAAUUUUUUGUUUCUUCCCAAGGAAGUAUAUAUGCUACUUGCUACACUUUCCAAAAAUGACACAAUUUAACACAUUGGGACAAAAGAAAAAUAUAGGGAAAUUCAUCUUUUUUAUCAUGAUCUAAAACUACAUAUCAAAAAAUAAAUAAAACAAAACUACGAAUCCUGAUAGUUGUGGAAAUAUGCUUGAAAUUAAGACUGUGACAAGAACAUUUAAACCAAAAUCAAAUUUACUUGGCAAGGAGUAUAGGAAAGUAGGUAUGUCAUUUACCAACACUACUUGGUGAUUCAUGGACUAAGAAAAAAAAAUCCACUGAACACAUAAAGUUGAGCUAUGACUUAGCAAGAGAUUUUGUUCUGAUGUAAUGAUGCUAAUUUUAAACUUUAAACAGCUUGAAAAGGGAGAUGAAUGUCUGAAAUGAAAAUCUCAACUGAUUCAGAGAUAAAGAAUAUAAAAUCAGUACUUCUGGGAACGAGCCGCAUUAGUCUUCCUCUCUGCAGACCUACUUGCAUUCCAAGAAUAUUUUUCAUCUCUAUCAAAAGCAAGAGGGAUGCAGACAUGAUCACUUUCAUAGCUCACCAUGCCAAGGACCACAAUAACCUGCUGCAUAUGCUUCCUUUGUGCAUCAGUUAUAUGUUAAGAGACUAAAGAUUUACACUCUCCGAAGAGUUCAGAAAAGAUAAUAAACAUUCCCACAGUUGCCAAACUGCUGAUGAUAAGAAGCCAUUCAGAACUGGUCCACGUGGGGAUCAAAAAAUAUUUAUAAGUAACAACCAUUCCUUGAAGUCAUCUACAAGGCUGCCUUGGAUAGAAGUCUAGAGUCAGGUCUAUUUUCAGAUUCAUUCAACUGUCUUAGGCUGUCCUUUCUCAUAACUGUUACUUAAAUCUCAUUGAAUACCAUAUACUAUCAUAUAAACAGCUAAUAAAUUAUAAAUUGAGACAGAAAUUCUGGGGAAC
ensembl:lncRNA